AUUUAGCUGACGAGUCCUAAAUAAGGCAAAACGCGCAUCCUGGAU
rnacentral:hammerhead_ribozyme from 1 species